UACAGAGGUCUCAAGCGUUUGUUCGGAUUCAUUGGGCGUAAAGGGUGCGUAGGUGGCAGGGUAAGUCGGAUGUGAAAUCCCGGGGCUCAACCUCGGAACUGCAUUCGAUACUGCUUUGCUGGAGUACUGGAGAGGAGAUUGGAAUUUACGGUGUAGCAGUGAAAUGCGUAGAUAUCGUAAGGAAGACCAGUGGCGAAGGCGGAUCUCUGGACAGUUACUGACACUGAGGCACGGAAGGCCAGGGGAGCAAACGGG
rnacentral:rRNA from 1 species